rnacentral:tRNA from 1 species
AGUUGUAUGGCCGAGUGGUCUAAGGCGGUAGAUUCAAGAUCUAUUUGAUGAUUUCAGCAUGGGUUCGAAUAUAAUAUCCCGUUACAACUA